GUGCUGCAGGCUGCAACUUUCACACUCUGAGACUAAAUCCCUUUUGCGUCGUCCAGGUCCUGGGGAGAGACAUUUAUUUAAAAGUAGCUGAAAUGAAGCACAGAAACAAACUCAGCACACAGUUUUGUUGACAGCAGAGGCUUGUGGUGCCCCAUGUGUCCUGGGCAGUUUUAAGGACCCAGACAGGACCAACAAUGAAUACAGGAAGAAAAAAGAAUAUUCAUGAAGCGUAAGAUCCCUCACACAACUGAAGUGCCCAUGGGUUUUUGGAGUGUUUGUUUACUUUCUGUUGUUAUUUAUAAAAUGCCUAAACAUCUGUCAAGCCCAUCUGAGAAAGAGCAAGACCCUUCUAUGUAUAACUGUGUUGUCAGUGCUUUACAAAUCCAGUAGCCAAAUCUCUGUGGGUUGGCAGCUGCUGGUGUUCCCUGUACCAACCCAAUUCCUGUUGGGCUGCAAGGGAGUCCUCAGGGAACAACAUCGACAGUGGGACCCCAACCUGUCAGCCCUUCUGUUGCUGGCACCCAUCGCUCGUGCAGCCUGGCUCCUCUACAAGCUGGCAGCAUUCUGAUUUUGGGAACUGAUCUGCUGGAUUUUAGCCACUUACUGUCUGUAAGGGCUUAUCCAA